GGAGUAUCUUUUAUAUUCCUAUUAGUAGUUUAAUUCAUAUUAGAGAUGUAAUGCUAUAAGGUUAAGGAUUCUACCAAUCCUAAUACUAUAAAUAAGGGUACAAAGGGGUGAAUCAACACACACCUCAUAAUUAUAUAUAUAUUUCGUCUUUCUCUAAUGCCGCCGGCCAUUCUUCCUCUAUGUCCUAAAUACAGUUCAGUUAAAUAGACCUACAACACGUUAUCAGCACACUCUUGCCAGAAGCUAAGGAACUGAAGGAUCGUGGAGGAAGCUUUCUUCUACAAAUUCAAAGGCUUUCAAUUGUUUUAUGCCAAUCAGUCUCACUUGGGGAUAUGUCGAACUUGAACAAGCUCGAUUUCACCGCUCUAGAAGUCUCUGGAAGAAACUACCUGAAGUGGGUUCAAGACGUGAAGCUCCAUCUUACUACAAAGAGUCUCAGAGCUACGAUUGA
rnacentral:sRNA from 1 species